CUAGCGUCCUUCUGCAGCUGUGACGGUCACGUUGUUGUAAGAAUACACCUGGUAGGUGUCAUCUGGUGGAUGACCUGUAUCUGGAUUCAGGUUUCUUUGAAUUGUAAAGAUGGGCUGCUUGGGUGCUGCAGAGAUUGUGGCUUCCUCGUUUUCCAGCAUGAAGACAACCGAAGACAUGGCUGGCCGAUCGUUCGGGCUAUCUUGCACGCACAGGAGGCCCACAUGGAUGCUUCUCAACACCUCGGUCGGAGAGCAUGUGUCGGCGAUGGAUGAAUCGACGUAGUCAUUCGCCUUGCCUUCGUUCCAGAGUUCCCAU
rnacentral:lncRNA from 1 species